UCCGUAGGGAGCAAGCGUUGUUCGGAAUUACUGGGCGUAAAGGGCGCGUAGGCGGCCUGUUAAGUCGAACGUGAAAUCCCCGGGCUCAACCCGGGAACUGCGUCCGAUACUGGCAGGCUUGAAUCCGGGAGAGGGAUGCGGAAUUCCAGGUGUAGCGGUGAAAUGCGUAGAUAUCUGGAGGAACACCGGUGGCGAAGGCGGCAUCCUGGACCGGCAUUGACGCUGAGGCGCGAAAGCCAGGGGAGCAAACGGG
rnacentral:rRNA from 1 species